GUCGAACGGUAACGCGGGGGCAACCCUGGCGACGAGUGGCGGACGGGUGAGUAAUGCUUAGGAAUCUGCCCAGUAGUGGGGGACAACACGGGGAAACUCGUGCUAAUACCGCAUACGCCCUAAGGGGGAAAGCGGGGGAUCUUCGGACCUCGCGCUAUUGGAUGAGCCUAAGUCGGAUUAGCUAGUUGGUGGGGUAAAGGCCUACCAAGGCGACGAUCCGUAGCUGGUCUGAGAGGACGAUCAGCCACACUGGGACUGAGACACGGCCCAGACUCCUACGGGAGGCAGCAGUGGGGAAUAUUGGACAAUGGGGGAAACCCUGAUCCAGCAAUGCCGCGUGUGUGAAGAAGGCCUGCGGGUUGUAAAGCACUUUCAGUAGAGAAGAAAUGUUCGGAGCUAACACCUCCGGAACUUGACGUAACCUACAGAAGAAGCACCGGCUAACUCCGUGCCAGCAGCCGCGGUAAUACGGAGGGUGCGAGCGUUAAUCGGAAUUACUGGGCGUAAAGCGCGCGUAGGCGGUUUGGUCAGUCGAUUGUGAAAGCCCUGGGCCUAACCUGGGAAUUGCAGUCGAUACUGCCUGACUAGAAUG
rnacentral:rRNA from 1 species